rnacentral:lncRNA from 10 species
AGGAAAAGAAGAAAGCUGAAAACACACUGAGGAUUAUGGGAGAGGGGCAAGUGCAUGAAGCUUCUCAAUGACAUACAGACACUCUAAAAGCUCAAGAGAUCAAUUAUUCAACUUCAAGAACUGAAAUUUGAACACAGAUUUUGAGCUUCCAAAUCAGGAGAAAAAGAAGUGUUCUAUAAGAAGUUUGGACAAGACUCUGCAAGAAGUUAAGAGGUCCUUAAAGGCAACUGUGAAUUAACGGAGACUAGUUUUGAGAAAAUCAGUCCUGAUUUGUUUCUCCUGGAGUUUUCUUCUUUAUGUGAUCCUUCAUAAAAGCUGCUAAUAUGGGAAAGAUUGAAAUCAGCAAGUUUCUGGCUGUAAGCUAAAAGAGGCUCUUGAAUCAUAUUUCCGCCUGCUUAGCAAAUUUCUCUUGCGACAAUUGGAUGUUAUUUGGGGUUCCAUACUAGCAGGAAGAAGUACAAGCAAAGCUAAGUCAUUUUGAGAAUAAAUAUUAUCUCUCUAUAUAUUUGUAAAUGUUAUUUUCUUUUUUUUUGAGGUUUAUGAUUGAUCCUUGGCAUGUGUCCCCUUGUGUAUUGCUCUACUAAAAA